AACAGGUGAGCCUGCGUUAGUCGACUCAACGCCGGAAACUCACCAGAUAAGACAGCUGAAUGAUAGUCGGGCUGAAGACUCUACUUGACUAGCUGAGAGGAGGUGCAUGGCCGUCGUCAGUUCGUACUGUGAAGCAUCCUGUUAAGUCAGGCAACGAGCGAGACCCACGCCAACAGUUGCCAGCAUGUCCUCCGGGAUGAUGGGGACACUGUUGGGACCGCCUCUGCUAAAGAGGAGGAAGGAAUGGGCAACGGUAGGUCAGCAUGCCCCGAAUUAUCCGGGCUACACGCGGGCUACAAUGGUCAGGACAAUGGGUAUCGACACCGAGAGGUGGAGGCAAUCUCCUAAACCUGUCCUUAGUUCGGAUUGUGGGCUGCAACUCGCCCACAUGAAGCUGGAAUCCGUAGUAAUCGCGUUUCAAAAUAGCGCGGUGAAUAUGUCCCCUGCUCCUU
rnacentral:rRNA from 1 species